AGCCAGUCAGGUGGGAAUUUGGAGCAGUGAAAUAUGAAGAGUACGUUUCUGCAUUGAAAUUACUGUUUGUGAGGGUGGGUCCUACAGUCAGCCAUCCUGGUCGAAUUGUACUGUCCCUUCCAAAAAGAUGAAGACGCCGUCGUCCAAGGCAGAAAUGCUCAAUGAUAUGGAAAAUCUCUACAGGUUUUUCAAUAUUGCCAAUUUCAGGCUCUUCUGUGAUAAUGAGGUCAAUGUCAACAUUAGCAUGGAUGAAGUCACCAUCUGUACUGCGACGCACGGUUCCUUUAAUGCCCAUGAGGCAGUGCUCCUUGGUUCUUUGGAAAACAGCCUUGGGGUCCAGAGUCUUGGUUUUUCCAGGAUUAUUCUUAUUCGUUUUAAUCCAACAAAUAUCUUCACACCUUCUGUAACCCCAUUUGCG
rnacentral:lncRNA from 1 species